GUGCUUACCAUGCAAGUCGAACGGAAAGGCCCAAGCUUGCUUGGGUACUCGAGUGGCGAACGGGUGAGUAACACGUGGGUGAUCUGCCCUGCACUUCGGGAUAAGCCUGGGAAACUGGGUCUAAUACCGGAUAGGACGAUGGUUUGGAUGCCAUUGUGGAAAGUUUUUUCGGUGUGGGAUGAGCUCGCGGCCUAUCAGCUUGUUGGUGGGGUAAUGGCCUACCAAGGCGUCGACGGGUAGCCGGCCUGAGAGGGUGUACGGCCACAUUGGGACUGAGAUACGGCCCAGACUCCUACGGGAGGCAGCAGUGGGGAAUAUUGCACAAUGGGCGCAAGCCUGAUGCAGCGACGCCGCGUGGGGGAUGACGGCCUUCGGGUUGUAAACUCCUUUCGCUAGGGACGAAGCGUUUUUGUGACGGUACCUGGAGAAGAAGCACCGGCUAACUACGUGCCAGCAGCCGCGGGUAAUACAAA
rnacentral:rRNA from 1 species